rnacentral:rRNA from 1 species
CUUACAUCUCUUCGGAGCAUUUUACGAGGUGCUGCAUGGUUGUCGUCAGCUCGUGCCGUGAGGUGUCGGUUAAGUCCCAUAACGAGCGCAACCCUACCCUUUAGUUGCCAUCAGGUAAUGCUGGGGACUCUAAAGGAACUGCCUACGCAAGUAGUGAGGAAGCGGGGAUGACGUCAAAUCAGCACGGCCCUUACGUCCAGGGCUACACACGUGCUACAAUGGCCGAUACAGAGGGCAGCUACCUGGUGACAGGAUGCAAAUCUCCAAAGUCGGUCUCAGUUCGGAUCGGAGUCUGCAACCCGACUCCGUGAAGUUGGAUUCGCUAGUAAUCGCGCAUCAGCCAUGGCGCGGUGAAUACGUUCCCGGGCCUU